UUCUAAACGCAAAACUUGAGUUCUUUGGAAUUUGUUUAGAGUCGUGGGUGAACUCGUUAAAGUCGUACUUUAACAAAUUUACAGCCUGUGUUGCUUUCUUUUUUGAUUUAUAGAGACUACUACUAAAAGACAAGGAGAAAUAUUGUCUUCGUAUAAAAAGUUCAACAGGCAACACUGCCGAUAGUUUCAUCGAUCGUUUCGCGGAAAUUGAUUUUCUUAUUGCGCAAAUUCAAAGUAUCGGAGUUAUACGAAAGGCUGCGUUUUACAGCAAGUGCAGCCGUUGCCAAUAAGUUUUGCGUGCUAGGAUCUCUGUUUGUCCGUUCACGUCUGGCUGGUGCAGUCCACUGGGAAUUACAGCUGCACCGAUUUAUUUGGCGAAGUGCAGCGGUUACAUAUGUACUUACAAGUCAGGAUCACUUUGUGUGUCCGUCCACCAAAUGUAAUUCAAUUUAAGAUAUUGAACAUGUAAUUUUUAAAUGCAACAAAUAUAAUAAUUUUUUAAAAA